GACGGAGGGGGCUAGCGUUGUUCGGAAUGACUGGGCGUAAAGGGCGCGUAGGCGGUUUUUUAAGUGAGGCGUGAAAGCCCUGGGCUUAACCCAGGAGGUGCGUUUCAUACUGGAAGACUUGAGUACGAGAGAGGAAAGUGGAAUUUCUAGUGUAGAGGUGAAAUUCGUAGAUAUUAGAAAGAACACCAGUGGCGAAGGCGGCUUUCUGGCUCGUAACUGACGCUGAGGCGCGAAAGCGUGGGGAGCAAACAGG
rnacentral:rRNA from 1 species